rnacentral:rRNA from 1 species
AACAAACGCUGGCGGCGUGCCUAAUACAUGCAAGUCGAACGGGGAAAGCUUUCGGGCGAGUGCUAGUGGCGCCCGGGUGAGGAACGCGUGGAUAAUCUGCCUUAGAGUGGGGGGUAACUCGUCGAAAGAUUAGCUAAUACCGCAUAAGACCACGAGAGCUGCGGCUUUUGGGGUUUCAGGUUUUUCGCUCUCAGAUGAGUCCGCGUAAGAUUAGCUAGUUGGUGAGGUAACGGCUCACCAAGGCGACGAUCUUUAACUGGUCUGAGAGGAUGAUCAGUCACAAUGCAACCGAGACGCAGUCGAGAGUCAUAUGGGAGGCUGGAGUAGAGAAUGAUGCAGAAAUGCGGAGACUCUGAAGAAGGGACGCCGAGUGAGAAACGAAGGCAUUCGGGACGAAAAGCAGUGUGGUAAGGGAUUAACGUAAUGAAGGUACCCAGUAAGAAAGGACCGGCUAACUUCGUG